GAACGCUGGCGGUAGGCCUAACACAUGUCAAGUCGAACGGCAGCACAGGAGAGCUUGCUCUCUGGGUGGCGAGUGGCGGACGGGUGAGGAAUACAUCGGAAUCUACCUUUUCGUGGGGGAUAACGUAGGGAAACUUACGCUAAUACCGCAUACGACCUACGGGUGAAAGUGGGGGACCGCAAGGCCUCACGCGAUUAGAUGAGCCGAUGUCCGAUUAGCUAGUUGGCGGGGUAAUGGCCCACCAAGGCGACGAUCGGUAGCUGGUCUGAGAGGAUGAUCAGCCACACUGGAACUGAGACACGGUCCAGACUCCUACGGGAGGCAGCAGUGGGGAAUAUUAGACAAUGGGCGCAAGCCUGAUCCAGCCAUACCGCGUGGAUGAAGAAGGCCUUCGGGUUGUAAAGCCCUUUUGUUGGGAAAGAAAUCCUGUCGAUUAAUACUCGGUGGGGAUGACGGUACCCAAAGAAUAAGCACCGGCUAACUUCGUGCCAGCAGCCGCGGUAAUACGAAGGGUGCAAGCGUUACUCGGAAUUACUGGGCGUAAAGCGUGCGUAGGUGGUGGUUUAAGUCUGCUGUGAAAGCCCUGGGCUCAACCUGGGAAUUGCAGUGGAUACUGGAUCACUAGAGUGUGGUAGAGGGAUGCGGAAUUUCUGGUGUAGCAGUGAAAUGCGUAGAGAUCAGAAGGAACAUCCGUGGCGAAGGCGGCAUCCUGGGCCAACACUGACACUGAGGCACGAAAGCGUGGGGGAGCAAACAGGAUUAGAUACCCUGGGUAGUCCACGCCCUAAACGAUGCGAACUGGAUGUUGGGUGCAACUUGGCACCCAGUAUCGAAGCUAACGCGUUAAGUUCGCCGCCUGGGGAGUACGGUCGCAAG
rnacentral:rRNA from 2 species